AGAAAUCAAUUUGAAGUAAUUAAUACAGUCAAGAUGUAGUCUCACCAUAUGCAUAUAUAAGUAACAGAUAUAUGUGUCAUAUCAUAUGUUAUAUUAAAAAGAUGGAUACUACAAAGAUGUCCUGCUUAUAAUGAUAUAUCUUUUUGCUUUCUGCAUCUUAACAUCAGGUUUGGAACUAAUGAUAAAAUGAAUAAAUCACCUGCUUUCUAAAAGGAUGUUUAACUUCUAACAAAUUUACAUUUUGAAUUAUUCUUUGUUUACAUACGAUAUUAUUCUUAUGUUUUGAAGAAAUAUUAGAUAUGUGUAAGAAAUCAGAAGGAAGAGAACUUGACGACCUUGUAAAUCAGAUGGAGAUUGUCAACCUGGAUGUCCUGGAAAAAAAGGGCAAUGUAUUCGCGGUAGAUGUUGGUGUAUUGAACAUCAUCUUUAGAUAAUACUACUCCUAGUGUAAUCCCUCGGAUUGCAAACUGAGUAAAUUAGUAUUGUGGAAGAAUAAUCAUGUAAGAAUAAAAUAAUAUGUAAUAAUAC
rnacentral:lncRNA from 1 species